GACAGGAGGAUGCAAGCGUUAUCCGGAAUGAUGGCGUAAAGCGUCUGUAGGUGGCUUUUUAAGUCCGCCGUCAAAUCCCAGGGCUCAACCCUGGACAGGCGGUGGAAACUACCAAGCUGGAGUACGGUAGGGGCAGAGGGAAUUUCCGGUGGAGCGGUGAAAUGCGUAGAGAUCGGAAGAACACCAACGGCGAAAGCACUCUGCUAGGCCGACACUGACAGCUGGAGAAGACGGAAAGCUAAGGGGAGCGAAUGGG
rnacentral:rRNA from 1 species